rnacentral:tRNA from 1 species
UUCAGAAAAAGGAUUUUCCUAUUUUAAAGUUCCAAACUUUAAAUUUUUUUUUAAAUUAUUUUCUGA